GUGGGGAAUAUUGCACAAUGGGGGAAACCCUGAUGCAGCGACGCCGCGUGAGUGAGGAAGUAUUUCGGUAUGUAAAGCUCUAUCAGCAGGGAAGAAGAAAUGACGGUACCUGACUAAGAAGCCCCGGCUAACUACGUGCCAGCAGCCGCGGUAAUACGUAGGGGGCAAGCGUUAUCCGGAUUUACUGGGUGUAAAGGGAGCGCAGGCGGCAUGAUAAGUCUGAUGUGAAAACCCAAGGCUCAACCAUGGGACUGCAUUGGAAACUGUCGUGCUGGAGUGUCGGAGAGGUAAGCGGAAUUCCUAGUGUAGCGGUGAAAUGCGUAGAUAUUAGGAGGAACACCAGUGGCGAAGGCGGCUUACUGGACGAUGACUGACGCUGAGGCUCGAAAGCGUGGGGAGCAAACAGGA
rnacentral:rRNA from 1 species